rnacentral:rRNA from 1 species
GACGUAGGGCGCGAGCGUUGUCCGGAUUUAUUGGGCGUAAAGAGCUCGUAGGCGGCUUGUUGCGUCGGCUGUGAAAACCCGCGGCUUAACCGUGGGCUUGCAGCCGAUACGGGCAGGCUAGAGUUCGGUAGGGGAGACUGGAGUUCCUGGUGUAGCGGUGAAAUGCGCAGAUAUCAGGAGGAACACCGGUGGCGAAGGCGGGUCUCUGGGCCGAUACUGACGCUGAGGAGCGAAAGCGUGGGGAGCGAACAGG